rnacentral:miRNA from 1 species
GGACUAACACUAUAUAUACGUAUAACUACGUGUGUGUGUGUGUGUGUGUGUGUGUGUGUAUAUUAUACACACACAUAUAUAAGACUAC